rnacentral:rRNA from 1 species
AGAACGAACGCUGGCGGCAUGCCUAAUACAUGCAAGUCGAACGAACUCUUCGGAGUUAGUGGCGCACGGGUGCGUAACGCGUGGGAAUCUGCCCCUUGGUUCGGAAUAACAGUUGGAAACGACUGCUAAUACCGGAUGAUGACGAAAGUCCAAAGAUUUAUCGCCAAGGGAUGAGCCCGCGUAGGAUUAGCUAGCUGGUGAGGUAAAGGCUCACCAAGGCAACGAUCCUUAGCUGGUCUGAGAGGAUGAUCAGCCACACUGGGACUGAGACACGGCCCAGACUCCUACGGGAGGCAGCAGUAGGGAAUAUUGGACAAUGGGCGAAAGCCUGAUCCAGCAAUGCCGCGUGAGUGAUGAAGGCCUUAGGGUGUAAAGCUCUUUUACCCGAGAUGAUAAUGACAGUAUCGGAGAAUAAGCCCGGCUAACUCCGUGCCAGCAGCCGC